rnacentral:rRNA from 1 species
UGGGGAAUAUUGGACAAUGGGCGAAAGCCUGAUCCAGCAAUGCCGCGUGAGUGAUGAAGGCCUUAGGGUUGUAAAGCUCUUUUACCAGGGAUGAUAAUGACAGUACCUGGAGAAUAAGCUCCGGCUAACUCCGUGCCAGCAGCCGCGGUAAUACGGAGGGAGCUAGCGUUGUUCGGAAUUACUGGGCGUAAAGCGCACGUAGGCGGCGACUCAAGUCAGGGGUGAAAGCCCGGGGCUCAACCCCGGAACUGCCCUUGAAACUAGGUUGCUAGAAUCUUGGAGAGGUCAGUGGAAUUCCGAGUGUAGAGGUGAAAUUCGUAGAUAUUCGGAAGAACACCAGUGGCGAAGGCGACUGACUGGACAAGUAUUGACGCUGAGGUGCGAAAGCGUGGGGAGCAAACA